AUUCUGGCUUUCUCUCUUGAGAUGUAGUACCGGGUGGUUGAUUCCUGGACUUGUUUGUGUUAGAUAUGUCUGUUUGUCAGCAUUCAUCAAACAUAAAUCACGCAUAUACAUGCAAGUAGUACCGGGUGGUUGAUUCCUGGACUUGUUUGUGUUAGAUAUGUCUGUUUGUCAGCAUUCAUCAAACAUAAAUCACGCAUAUACAUGCAUAAUUAUAACAUUCAGAUAUUCAUGUUGCAUUCUUUUCCAUAUAUCGUUG
rnacentral:lncRNA from 1 species